rnacentral:rRNA from 1 species
GAUGAACGCUGGCGGCGUGCCUAAUACAUGCAAGUCGAGCGAACGGACGAGAAGCUUGCUUCUCUGAUGUUAGCGGCGGACGGGUGAGUAACACGUGGAUAACCUACCUAUAAGACUGGGAUAACUUCGGGAAACCGGAGCUAAUACCGGAUAAUAUUUUGAACCGCAUGGUUCAAAAGUGAAAGACGGUCUUGCUGUCACUUAUAGAUGGAUCCGCGCUGCAUUAGCUAGUUGGUAAGGUAACGGCUUACCAAGGCAACGAUGCAUAGCCGACCUGAGAGGGUGAUCGGCCACACUGGAACUGAGACACGGUCCAGACUCCUACGGGAGGCAGCAGUAGGGAAUCUUCCGCAAUGGGCGAAAGCCUGACGGAGCAACGCCGCGUGGGUGAAGAAGGUUUUCGGAUCGUAAAGCUCUGUUGUAAGAGAAGAACGGGUGUGAGAGUGGAAAGUUCACACUGUGACGGUAUCUUACCAGAAAGGGACGGCUAACUACGUG